GAACGCAUCUUGCGCUCCUUGGUAUUCCUAGGAGCAUGCCUGUUUGAGUGUCAUUAAAUUCUCUACCUCACCAGUUUUGUAACGAGACAGGUGAAGGCUUGGAUGUAGGGGUUUUGCAGGCUGCCUCAGUGCUGGUCUGCUCCCCUGAAAUGCAUUAGCGAGCUCAUAUUGAGUUUCCGUCUAUUGGUGUGAUAAUUAUCUACGCCGUGGAUUGGACUCAUGCUUGCUUCUAACCGUCCGCAAGGACAAUUUACUUUGACCAAUUUGACCUCAAAUCAGGUAGGACUACCCGCUGAACUUAAG
rnacentral:misc_RNA from 1 species